GGUUGAAUAGCUCAGUCGGUAGAGCGCAUGGCUCUGGUCCAAAAGGUUGUGGGUUCGAUUCCCACCUCGGCCA